rnacentral:rRNA from 1 species
UACGGAGGGUCCAAGCGUUAUCCGGAUUUAUUGGGUUUAAAGGGUCCGUAGGCGGGAUAUUAAGUCAGUGGUGAAAGCCUGCAGCUUAACUGUAGAAUUGCCAUUGAUACUGAUAUUCUUGAAUCUAGUUGAAGUAGGCGGAAUAUAUCAUGUAGCGGUGAAAUGCAUAGAGAUGAUAUAGAACACCGAUUGCGAAGGCAGCUUACUAAACUAGUAUUGACGCUCAGGGACGAAAGCGUGGGGAGCGAACAGG